UAAGGUCGGUCAGCAAUGGGCAGUGUGUUCCUAGUGCUGCAGGCAGCAGGUUGGACUCCUGUUCGGCUGCCUCUUCUUUUAAGUCAGUGUUGCCGCACCAUGGCUUCUCAAAACCAAUGGGUGCCACCCCCUGCACCCCUGCUACAACCACUGUCCAUCCCAGACAGGCUGUUGCUGGGACCUGGACCCUCCAAUUCCCCUCCCCGGAUCUUGUCUGCAGGUGGUCGGCAGCUCAUAGGACAUGUCCACAAAGAGAUGAUCCAGAUAAUGGAUGAGAUCAAGCUGGGAAUCCAGUAUGCAUUCCAGACACAGAACCCCCUCACAUUGGCUGUCAGCGGCACAGGCCAUUGUGCCAUGGAAGCAGCCUUCCUGAAUGUGGUGGAGCAAGGAGACAAAGUGUUGGUAGCUGUGAAUGGAUUUUGGGGUGAACGAGCAGCUGACAUUGCCAAAAGGCUUGGAGCUGAAGUACAUCAGCUGGUAAAGGCUCCUGGAGAGUAUUUCACUCUUGAAGAAAUAGAGAAGGGUUUGGCAGCAUAUGCUCCCUUUUUGUUUUUCAUCACACAUGGAGAAUCAUCCACUGGAGUGGUUCAGCCACUGGAGGGUCUUGGAAAUCUCUGCCACAGGUAUAAUUGCUUGCUACUGGUGGAUGCUGUGGCAUCACUAGGUGGCGUUCCAGUUCUCAUGGACCAGCAGGGAAUUGACAUCCUCUACUCUGGCUCCCAGAAAGUCUUAAGUGCGCCACCUGGUGCUUCUCCUAUCUCUUUCAGCAAGAGAGCACGGAAGAAGAUUUAUAGCAGGAAGACAAAGCCAACUUCCUUUUAUCUGGACAUGGAAGAGCUGGCUCAAUACUGGGGCUGCAACAAUAACCCAAGAAAGUAUCAUCAUACAGCACCCAUCAACACAUUUUUUUGUUUGCGAGAAGCCUUGGCAAUUCUUGCAGAAAAGGGGCUAGAGAAUUCCUGGAGGCUUCACAAGGAAAACAGCCUGUACCUGUGCGCAGGGCUACAGAAAUUAGGCCUACAACUCUUUGUGAAGGAACCGGAUGCAAGGCUUCCAACAGUCAACACUGUCUUUGUACCCAAAGGAUAUGACUGGAAGGAAAUAACCGAAUAUAUUAUGAAAAAGCAUGGUAUUGAAGUUUCAGGAGGUCUGGGUGCUUCAGCAGGCAAGGUUCUCAGAAUAGGAUUGAUGGGCUACAACUCCACUAAAUACAAUGUUGACCGAGUCCUCCAUGCUCUGGAAGAUGCUCUCCAGCACUGUCUGAAGAACAAGCUAUGAGAUCUCAUCCCAUUGUCUUUUACACAGAACUGAGGCGGUGAAUGUAGCUAAAGUCCUGCAAUAUCCACAUACAGUGCUUUCCCCUUUUUUCAUUCCAUAGUUUGGGAACAUGAUGCUUUACAGCAAGCCUACAUAUCACCACCUCUGCCUGGCUGAUAAGAAGGGCCCUGCUGGAUCAGAUCAAAGGUUCAUCCUGUCAGCAUCCUGUUACCAACAGUAGCCAGCCAGAUGCUUCCAGGAAAUCCAUAAGCCAGCAUACAGACUGUAGCCCUCUCUCAUUGGCCCAGUUUGUAUGUCAUAAUAAACCAGUUAAUGGUUUCCCAUGAAUGAAACUUUCUGUGCCAUUUGACUCCACCCUGCUAGCACACAGAGGAUACCAACCAUGAUCCCUGGCUUAUUGUUAUGACCAAAUCAGGGAUCUUACUUUGUUUUGUUCCAAUAACUGUCGGAAGGCAGAGCUGGGGUCCCAAUCCCGGGGAGCUGGAUCCCGGAGAGUUGGGAGAAGAGUAUUCGGAUGGAUGGCAGAGGGAAGGGGGAGGAACUUCCCCCCUUUGGAGCGAAGACGAAACAGAGGAACUGCCAGUGAUAAGGUCGCUUAGCAACGGGGAGCCUGAGCCCUCCCUGGACAUUCUCACGCCUCCCCCUCUUUCAGGCUCAGAGCAAGAGGGGAAAGAGGGAGGGCUGCUCACAGCCGAAAAGCGGGGAGGCAGUUUACCAUCAGCCCCUCCCCUAUCCCCCAUCCUGGAAUCGGAAACUUCAGAAGAGGAGGGGGUGAUGCUUCCCCCCUCCCCGCGCACACGCAGACAGCUGAAAAGACAGGAGAGAAGGGGGGGAAGGCGGGCAGUACCUGAGGGGCAGUUAAGGAGGAGCGAAAGAUUGCGCGCCCGUUUGGCCCCUUCUUAAAGAACAGGCGGGAAGAAGUCCCUUGCUCUGUCAACUUUCUCCCAAUGCCGCAGGACCUGUAUCCCUGUAUUGCUUCAUGAGAAAACGCAGUCUUUGUUUGGACAUUACCCUAAUAAAACACGAAUUAACUACAGCCGUUGGUCUGGUUC